rnacentral:tRNA from 2 species
GCGGAUGUGGCGAAAUUGGUAGACGCGCCAGAUUUAGGCUCUGGUUCCGUAAGGUGUGUGGGUUCGAGUCCCUCCAUCCGCA